rnacentral:misc_RNA from 1 species
GGAGACUCGGAUUUUGAGCGGGUCGUUGGCACUACAAUUGCAAAGCAGCAAUCUGGAGCUGGAGGUGAGCAGUGAGCACCACUCAACGCCGCUAACAACUUAGGCGAUUCAUGGGUUCCUUGGACGCCGCCACCACAACCGAAUCCGGAUCCAACAUUGAGCAAUUUCUUGGCGAUCGGUUACUCGACCGGACGCUGCCCAUCUCCGAACGGUUUAGAGCCCUCUUUUCUCUCCGCAACCUCAAAGGCUCCGCUCCCCGUAACGCCCUUAUUCACGCG